AACAUAUUGCAUAAUUUGUUUUCUGUGCAAAUGUUUGUUGUACAUAGGUGGACAAGUUACUAAAGCAGCAGCUAAAACAUACAGACCUCUCCCUCAAUUAUGUCAACGUCGAAGCAGGUCCUCGGUCAUCGAUUAGAAGAGGACUGCGGCGAACAAGGUGGAUUCACGGCGACGGAUUCUGCCAUAGCAGAAGAUAGGGGCAGUUGUGUUGCUUGGAUCAGCAAUGGCAUAGCAGUGUGCAGAUAAUUUUCCUCAGAAGCAGAAGAAAUUAACCUUGUCAUAUGUUGUUGUGAUUUAUAUAUGUAUGUGAUUACCAUUAUCAAUUUACCUUCCUAUAACACUUGUUUCAAAUGGGAUUCGCAAUCUUUGUCUGGUUGAAGGAGAGCCAGACCUUGCUUUUGUUGGUUUACUGCAGGAUGUAGUUGCAGAGCAGAAAUGAAAAGAUGAAAUUUGAGAGGAAAACCAGUGUCGUUUGGGUUCAUUUGGGAUAUUUGGUACUUUUGUACAAGAACUUCUUUUUGCUUUUGUUAUAAGAAUGAUUUGGUUGGAAAGAA